rnacentral:misc_RNA from 1 species
GAAAAAUAUAACAAAUAAAUUGAAAGAAAAAAAAAUCUAUUGAAUCUCUUUCAUUUCUCCAAUUUGUCUUUAAUAAUAAUAAUUAUUAUGAUCUCCACCUCGCCAAUGAAUUUGAGUUUCCAUCAAACAAUUCCUCAAUUAAAUUCUCAAUAUCUUCUGCUUGGUACUUUACAUACUUUUCCGUUUGCCUACCCGCCGAAAAGUACUGCUGGAACCGCCCCAGAAAUGACCGGUAAGCAGGAAUAACCACCGCUGAUACCGAAACCCGAAGCUCAGACUGUAGCUGCUCGUCGCUCACAACCCAUGUGCUCUGCGUCUUGUGUAUCUCAUCAAACAUGGAGUUAAACAUCUUGAACCUCUCCUUCAAUACAGGCUUCACCACCUUCCCAUUUACCUGCAACCCUUCGUGGCUCAGACACUGCAGUAAUCUGCUCCAUGUCUCUCUUGUAUAUCCCUUAUGAUAUUGCCUCAGAUCGGUUGACCGCUUUCUACACCAUUUCGCUCCCAUUGUGUCAUUAAUCUCAGUGGAUCCUUUGAUCUUUUGGAGAAUAUACCUUCCAUUGUUCAUCAAGAACACGUAGCGCAACGCAGGGUCUCUGUACAAUUUCGAUUUCAUUUCAAGAUUCUCAUCAAGCAAAUCCAUUAUCGUUUUCAGCUGCACUGAAAAUGGCGACGUUUUUGGAUUGCCAUCUUCAUCGGCGCCUUCUGUGAUCUCUGCAUCCGGCUGGUUGCACUUUCCGGCAUUGGCAUUUCCCUCCUCCGUUUUCUGGUGCUGCUGGAAGACUUGUUCCAAUGUGUUUUUAUAUUCGCAGGCGUAUUUUAGAUAAUUCAUGGUGUAGCGAGUCAAGGGGUGAACUGCACCGCUUGGAACUGGAGUUCUGCUAUGGUCCCUCCUUAUGGAAUCCUCAAGAUCACAGAAAAUGCUCACGGCUGCUUCUCCGAGCAAGCGUUUCGCAGUGAAGGUUUCCCCUUUUAAGUCCCUGGAAUGAGUAGUAUUAUCAAUUGUAGGAAUCAUAUCCCUCAAGGUCUCGUACAUGUCCAAGAAUUUGAAUAGUUUCUCAGCAGAUUGUUUUGUCAUGGCAACAGCUUCUGCGAAAUUGAGAAACAUUACCGUUAUUGAUGAUGCAAGAUCGUUGAAUAAUCUUUGGGACACUGACGGGUACUCUGAAAAGACAAAGUUACAAAGCUUCAGCUCGCCAGGCAAAAGAACUGAGUAACAAUGCUUAAGAACGUCAAUCCAGGCAGAGAUUUCUCCUUCCAGGGUUUCCCACUGCAUCCUCUGCACAUCCUCGAUGCUGGUAUUGGUGAAUCCAAGCUUAUCCAAUUCGCUGUUGAAUGCAGUUUUCCUUAUCAUGUUAUAAGCCAUACAGCACUCCCUCUCGUAACCCAAUGAGAUCAUCGCAGUAGCGAUUUUGUUCAUGUUGGAGAUUGAUUCUUUGGAAUAAGCGGGGAAUUCCUCCCCUAUUGCUGUUUCUGCUUCUGGUUGGACGCCUCCUCGAUCAGAGUUAUCCUGAUGAUGGGAACCGAAAGAUGGUU